GACGAACGCUGGCGGCGUGCUUAACACAUGCAAGUCAUACGGUAAGGCCCUUUCGGGGGUCCACGAGUGGCGCACGGGUGAGUAACACGUGAGUAACCUGCCCACAACUUUGGGAUAACGCUAGGAAACUGGUGCUAAUACUGGAUAUGUGCUCCUGCUGCAUGGUGGGGGUUGGAAAGCUCCGGCGGUUGUGGAUGGACUCGCGGCCUAUCAGCUUGUUGGUGGGGUAGUGGCCUACCAAGGCGGCGACGGGUAGCCGGCCUGAGAGGGUGACCGGCCACAUUGGGACUGAGAUACGGCCCAGACUCCUACGGGAGGCAGCAGUGGGGAAUAUUGCACAAUGGGCGCAAGCCUGAUGCAGCAACGCCGCGUGCGGGAUGACGGCCUUCGGGUUGUAAACCGCUUUCAGCAGGGACGAAGCUUUUUGUGACGGUACCUGCAGAAGAAGCACCGGCUAACUACGUG
rnacentral:rRNA from 1 species